rnacentral:rRNA from 11 species
ACAACUGACCAAAAUACCCUGAAGGCAGCAGAUCCUAUCUGGGCUCAGAAGCUAAGCAAAGCUGACUCUAGUUUAUACUUGUAUGGGAGAUCAUUGGGUAUGUAGACCAAGUGAUGUA